rnacentral:tRNA from 6 species
GUCCCGUUCGUCUAGAGGCCUAGGACAUCGCCCUUUCACGGCGGCAACACGGGUUCGAAUCCCGUACGGGACGCCA